AUGGGGUCUCAUAUGGAGUGCAGUUCAGACGAGUCGUCAGAGCUAAGUGACGCUGAUAUCGAUGACUAUGCUGAGAAGGCCUACACGGACCUCAAGUCUGGCAAGCUUGUGGCGAGGUUCGGCGCCGACAGGUUUAGGUGCCCGUUCUGCCCUGGGAAGAAGAAGCAGGACUACCGCUACAAUGAGCUGCUUCAGCACGCAAUUGGUGUGGGCGCAUCCAACCGUGCUGCCAAAGUGAAGGCAAACCAUCAGGCACUGGCCAGUCACCUCAAGACUGAUCAUGCUGAUGCAGCAGGUUCGUUGCCACCGCGACAGGCCGAGGCGCUGAUCAACCCUCCAAAGCCAGUCCAGGACCAGGAGCUGUUUGUUUGGCCCUGGAUGGGCAUCCUUGCCAAUGUUCCAGUAGAGCAAACACAGAGAGGUGGAGCCAUUGUAAUGCAACAGCUAGCCGGUUACAAACCCAUACGUUUCAAUGCUGUGCAUUGUCCUGACGGCGGGUACACUGGCUUUGCAAUAGUCCGUUUCAACAAGGAUUGGAUCGGGUUCAAGGAUGCCUUGGGAUUCCACAACACCUACAAAUCACAUCAUCUGGGUAAAACGGAUUGGGAGGCAAAUAAAAGUGACAAGUACAUGUUUGCCUGGCUGGCAAAAGAGGAGGAUUACAAAGCAGAUGAUCCAGUUGGCAAGUUCUUGUCAGAAAAUGGUGAUCUCAAGACAGUGGCUGAACUGCAACAGGAGAUGUCCCGCAAGACUGACACUCUCAUAACUAGUUUGACGAGCCAGAUUAGUGCUAAGAGCAAGUACUUGAUGGAACUUGAGUGCAAGUGUAAUCAGAUGGAUCUCGCUCUUCAGAGGGCUAUGGAAGACAAUGACUCGCUGGACCAACGCUACAAUGAAGAAAUGCGAAAGAUGCAGUCAACUGCCCGUGAACAUUCGUUGAAAAUUUUCCAUGAGACUGAUCAGCUGAGAAAGCAGUUGGAUGAGAAAGAGAACGACAUCAGAAGGCGAUCAAAGCAACUAAGUGAAAUAGUUGCUCAAACUGACAUGGAAAGAAGAAAACUGGAGAAUGAGAGGAAGAAGAAUGAUGGUCAAAACGACUCCCUUAACAUGGCAAGAAUUGAGCAAGAAAAAGCCAAUGAAGGUGUGCGGCUUCUUGUUGAGAAACACAAGAAAGAGAAGGAAGCCGCUCUGAACAAAAUCUUGCUGUUAGAGAAGCAGCUUGAUGAGAAGCAUCAGCUGGAGCUGGAUAUUCAACAGCUUAGAGGCAAACUGGAGGUGGUGAAGCACAUGGAGGGAGAGGGAGUCGAUGUGAAGAAACGUACUGAAGAGCUGAAUAAGGAUCUACAGGAUAGAAUCGACGCAAUGGAAGACCUGGAAGAGCUAAAUCAAGCUCUGAUCAUCAAGGAAAGGAUGACCAAUGAUGAACUGCAGGAUGCAAAGAAAGAGCUUAUUUCGGGCUUGGUCGAUCUGUUGGGUCCUCGUAGCAACAUUGGAAUCAGGAGGAUGGGUCAAGUGGAUGAGAAGCCGUUUAUUGAAGCUUGCAAGCCAAAGUAUGGCGCGGAGGCGGAUACAAAAGCUCUUGAAUUUUGCUCCAUGUGGCAAGACAAUCUGAGGGAUGCUAAUUGGCACCCUUUUAAGAUAGUGACCACAGGUGAAAAGUCUGAGCAAAUCAUCGACGAAGGCGACGAGAAGCUGGUGGGGUUGAAGGAGGAGCUGGGUGAAGAGGUUUACAAGGCUGUGACCACCGCGCUGGUGGAGAUGAACGAGUACAAUGCCAGCGGCAGCUAUGUGGUCUCGGAGCUGUGGAACAACAAAGACAACAGGAAGGCUAGCAUGGGAGAAGUGGUGGAGCAUAUCCUCAAGCAGUGGAAGGCGAAGCGUAAGAGGUGA
rnacentral:rRNA from 1 species